rnacentral:rRNA from 1 species
CCUACGGGUGGCAGCAGUGGGGAAUAUUGGACAAUGGGGGCAACCCUGAUCCAGCCAUGCCGCGUGUGUGAAGAAGGCCCUCGGGUUGUAAAGCACUUUCAGUGAGGAAGAACGCCUGGUGGUUAAUACCCAUCAGGAAAGACAUCACUCACAGAAGAAGCACCGGCUAACUCCGUGCCAGCAGCCGCGGUAAUACGGAGGGUGCGAGCGUUAAUCGGAAUUACUGGGCGUAAAGCGCGCGUAGGUGGCUUGAUAAGCCGGUUGUGAAAGCCCCGGGCUCAACCUGGGAACGGCAUCCGGAACUGUCAAGCUAGAGUGCAGGAGAGGAAGGUAGAAUUCCCGGUGUAGGGGUGAAAUGCGUAGAGAUCGGGAGGAAUACCAGUGGCGAAGGCGGCCUUCUGGACUGACACUGACACUGAGGUGCGAAAGCGUGGGUAGCAAACAGGAUUAGAUACCCCAGUAGUC